GCCUUCCUAGCUCAGUGGUAGAGCGCGUCACUAGUAAGCCCAUGGGUUGCAAUGACGAGGUCGUCAGUUCAAUUCUGGCGGAAGGCA